rnacentral:piRNA from 1 species
UGAAAGCAGCGGUAAUGAAAUAUGG